AGCAGCCGCGGUAAUUCCAGCUCCAAUAGCGUAUAUUAAAGUUGUUGCAGUUAAAAAGCUCGUAGUUGAAUUUCGAGACCGGCUUACUGGUCGUGCUAUUGUACGUACUGGUAUAAUCGGUUUCUCCUUUCUGACGAACUAUAAUGCCAUUAAUUUGGUGUUAUAGGGAAUCAGGACUGUUACUUUGAAAAAAUUAGAGUGUUUAAAGCAGGCUCACGCUUGAAUACAUUAGCAUGGAAUAACGGAAUAGGACGUUUGAUUCUAUUUUGUUGGUUUCUAGGAUCGACGUAAUGAUUAAUAGGGGAUAGUUGGGGGCAUUAGUAUUCAAUUGUCGGAGUGAAAUUCUUGGAUUUAUUGAAGACUAACUACUGCGAAAGCAUUUGCCAAGGAUGUUUUCAUUAAUCAAGAACGAAAGUUAGGGGAUCGAAGACGAUCAGAUACCGUCGUAGUCUUAACCAUAAACUAUGCCGACUAGGGAUCGGAUGAUGUUAAUUUUUUAAUGACUCAUUCGGCGCCUUAC
rnacentral:rRNA from 1 species